GACGAACGCUGGCGGCGUGCUUAACACAUGCAAGUCGAGGGCACUUUGGGGGCAACUCUGGAGUGACCGGCGAACGGGUGCGUAACACGUGAGCGACCCUUGCCUCGUGGUGGGGGAUAGCCCGGCCCAACGGCCGGGUAAUACCGCAUAGGGUAGUUCUUUCGCAUGGGAGAACUAGCAAAGCCGUGCAGCAAUGCACUGGCGCCACAGGGGGGGCUCGCGGCCUAUCAGCUAGGUUGGGGGGUAAUGGCCCACCAAGGCGACGACGGGUAGCUGGUCUGAGAGGAUGGCCAGCCACAUUGGGACUGA
rnacentral:rRNA from 1 species